rnacentral:lncRNA from 1 species
CUUUAAGCACGGCCAGUGAUAAAUGACUUCUACCGCGUGCCUCGUCGUUACCGCCUCGUUUCGAACUUCCUCGCUCUGGCAUAGUUCGUUUAACGUCACGUCGGAUCUUCAAGAUGGCGCUGAGCACAGGAGGGAACGAUUUUGCGAGAGUCGUUAGCACGGCACCGAGCCACGCCUCCUUCUGCGAGAGCGUUGCCUCCUUUUCCCGUACCCGAGAACGCGUCGCGCUCUACAAAGAACGGCUGAGGAGGCACUCGAAGCGAGACCGGGGAAUCGCUGGAAAGACUCGUGAAACAAGAAAUAAUCACCCUAUUAUCAAGAGUUUAACGAGGCUUCGCCUGUUAUUGAACAUCGCCCUAUCUCCCGACGGCUCACCCCGCACCCUCCUCCGCGGGGGCGACGCAACGCGCGUCGGGGCUUCUAUCCGGCCGGGGAAAUAUGAAUUUCGCUUCCUACAUCUCGCUGACACCACGCUUACGACGUUACGACGCGUUAGCUCGCGGCUUAUGAAAAUAUAUACGCGCAAAGUGUGUACGCGCACGACAUGACGCGCGCCCGCGCGAAAAGUAACGAGACGUUGUUAAUUGAACGUCUCUCUCAUUUAUCUCCUUCCCCUCUUUCUUCUCCUCCUUCUCCUCGGGUGUUUCAUUAAGGAGGAGUGCCAGAGACCGUGCGUAACCGUGUGAGGAGUCGGAGAGUCACGAGAGAGAUGUACGAAACAACGUACCUUUCCAGGGGAUAAAUUGACGAUCGCGUGUUUUUAGGAGCACCGUUUACUCAGUGGCAAUCUCGUAGCGAUCGCUUCUACCAUCCACGAGAGCGAACCCCUACCAAUAAAAGCCAUCCGUUCGCGUGAGAAGCGAAAAACGAUUUCCGACUCGCCGUUGUCAUACAUCAUGUCGCUUAAUAUACCACUUUGUUAAUUUCUGCACUUCAAGCUUAUAAUUAAUGCGCGCUGAAAUGUAAGACUUGCGUGAAUGGUAAUCGUUUUUCUGCUAUAAAAACCCGCGGUUUCCGUUCCACCUUUCUGUUACCUUCCAUAAAAACGUAAGUUCCGCAAUCAUAAAUCACUUUUAAUCAACUUCCGUUUUGAUACAAGAGCUCGUUAAGCGAGUGCCACGAAUGCGCUAGAAUUAAUAAUGCGAUAACACCCGGUUACGUAUCGGAUCGGUCAGGUCGAAAGCGAGCGAGAGAAAGAAAUGUUUCGCCAUAUCGCAUCGUCGUAUACAUAUAAAUGGGAUACGGAACGGCACAUCUGUUAUUCAUAAUUUAGGACAAUCUUGAUAGCGGGAAUAACAUCGGGAUACAGAUAAAGACAGACGCGUAUCAUUGCAAAAUCAAUAAGCCGGCGGAGCCUCGUGAAGAAAUCGUACACAAUUCGUACCAUUCGUUACCGUGAGUAAUGAAAAAUGGCUCCGAGCUUAGAUGGAAGCAGGUCGCGUCGGAAGAGAUAUAGAUAGGUGGGUAGAGGUAGGUAGGCAACUACGGGAGGAUGAUAGAGUGGGCCUAUGCAUUCGUCCAGUAAAUAGCGUGAUUGAUCGAUAUUAUAUUCAUAACAGGCAACGACUUGUCAUCAAUCAUAUCCCGUCGCGCAUAACUGCGGGUCUCUGUAAUAUACCUGCCCGGCCGGUAUAAUACAUUACGCCUCCAAGUCCGUAUUCAGUACACCGGGUGAUCUAGAAACAUUCUCCUUACGCCUGCUGCGGAAAAGCGAGCACGCUAGAAAAUUAAUGGCCUUAACAAUGUAUUGUAAAAUAGCGCUACACGUGUCGCUUUUUAAACGAAGCCUCGGGGUCACGGAUAGCCUCGUCGCGCUAUCAGUAAGCGAGGUAGCGGCAGCGUAGGAACGGAAAAUUACAUCGCGAAACAAUGCUUUUAAUAAAGAGCCGGUAAUCCUCUUUCUCGCGCGCUUUUAUUUAUAAAUGACAUUUUCUUUUUAUUUAUUUGUUUAUUUAUGCGAACCCGCGCGCAACUAUAUACGUCCGCCCCGCGUCACGCGCCUGCGUUUUGCGAUGCGAUGGGUUGAUGCGUCCGUGACAAUGGGUCCGGUGCUGACACGGUAGCCUUCCCCCCGCUGCCACUCAAAGCCUCUCAGGUAACGCGAUCCCGGCAGCCUAAAUAAACAAGAUAGAAUAAAUAAAAGCUAUUCUAAAUGUCAGUCCAAUGUUUGCCUAGCUGUCACGGAAGUGGAGGGCACUCUCAGUCUCAAAUGGAUAUCGAAUCGGCCGUUUACAGCCCUCUUCUUUUGGCGUGCGAUGGGCUACCGUUCUACCGAUGGCGUAUAUGAGCGAUAUUUUUAUCAUCGCCCAUGUCGCGCUCCCUGAAUUGGCAAUGUCGGAUUAAGACUCGAAGGAGAAAAUAAUUCGAGGCGUACUGUAUCUGCUUAGAAAAUGCAAUAGCCUGACUGGGAAUAUUAAAUCCUAUUUUUUUUGCUUCGAUUAAUAUUUAUCACAUUAGCAUACUGAUGGAUGUAAAAUAUGCUAAUGAUUACGGAAGAAAAAAAAAAAGAGAGAUAAUGAACAUAUCGCGAUGUCGUUUUUGACGAUUACAAAGUUGAGUGAAUCGCAAUAAAAUUUUCUAAUUAAUGCGCGCUUCAUAAAUAAGCAGGAAGCGUCGAUUCCACGGUUCUUCGGCGAUCGGGAGCAGAUCGCGAAAGACGUCCGAGAUAAGCAGACAGGCGGCUCGGUUGGAAGAAGCAAAUGAAAUUGACAGUCGACGUUUGUCUGCGCGCUCCUCUCGCUCGUAGUCUCUCUGUAGUCUGUCUGUCAGCAUGACACCGAGCGACGCCUUCUUUAUUAUACAUUCAAUUAUUAGGCGCUGCGCAUGACAAGCGCUAUUGCAUAUUUAUAUCUGCCAGCCGAGGCGAGCUCAGCCGGAUAAGGGGGUUCCUGACAGCCCGUCACGAGCAUACGUUAACAUUCUUAAUAACGUACCCGGGUUUGUGUAUACGCCCGACGUGCGUCCGUGUGCGUGCGCGCGCGUAUAUAUACGUAUAAUACGCACACGCGCGUGUACCGCGCGUACGUACACGGGGGGAAUGCAUGAAAUGCACGCGCACGCACACUCGCUCACGCGCCGGCUGAACACACACGACGUGUAAAAGCCGCGCGCGGCAGUGGUGUAAUUUCAAUACACGAGGAAGCUAUCAACCUUUAUAACCUGUUUAUUACGAUAAUACCGUAAAUUUGCAUCGCGUGUUCCACCGUAAUCGCUUGCCGCGGCGGAUGUCAUAUUACGUUAACUACAGUAGUUAAAUAGGCAUCCGGGGAAUAGGCCGAAACCGGCAUACCCUGAAAUUUGCGCCACUCCUGGCGUACAUGGAUAUUGGUUUCAGGACGGUUUAAUGAAUUCCGCUUCGAAUUUUAUAUGGCAGCUUGUUUAACACCUGACCGACGAAACAUCUAACCGAUAAAUCAGUAAUGAUUUUAUAUACAUGUACGUGAUGAAUGUUAAACUAUAUACUCCCCUGAAAUUCAAUCUAGGAAUUAAGUAGGAAUGCAUGCAGAUCAUGUUUUGCGUUACGUACAAGCGUAUAUAAUAGCGUUUGAAAACUGAAAUAGGAAUGUGGAUUCAUGUAUACGCUCGAUUAAAUCUAACGCUCACCUGCCGCAUGUUAUUACAAUCGUUCGGACAUGCUUGAGGUGUUGCGAAUUUCGUAAUGGAUGCGACGCGAAUUCCCUUAAGGUUCAUAAAAAGAAAUAAGGCUCCAUCUUUCCGGUAUAUACGUACACCGCGUUAAAAAUAUUAUCAAAGACGUCGCGUCCGCGAGAUAAAAUACACGCCGAUACAGUAGCUUUUUCGUCAACAAAAUGCUGAACAACGAUCGUAUAUCAGACACCGCCCACGGCGACCGUGGGCUCCAUAAAGAGAACAAAAACUUUCUUAUUUUCUCCGUCCAUGGCCGCCUGCUUUGAUAUACGAUACGUUUGUACCGUGUCGGCCAGAGCCUUCGAAAGCCGACCAUCUACCGUAACAGCAUUUUUAUGCUAAACUGGUCGAUGCAACUGACAAGAAUUGACAGAAUUCGGAAAACAGCUGACAGCCCGCCAUGCAGCCACUCCUCUGUUCCGCCGGUGGUAAAUUUCAAACCGCCUCUCCCUCCUUUUUCUACCGCCGCAAAACGAAUGCUGGUCCAUUUCUACCGCGUUCGCGGUCCCGCCCAGAUAGCCUCAAAAAUUAUGAUUAAACGGGAGAGGAAAAUGAAGAAGGGGGAGGGGGAGGAAAAGAUCGCGAGAUACGAUGUCAAAAUCCCGAGAGUGAUUUCGCGUAAAAUGUAAACUGCAUAGUGCGUGCAACGAAAUAGAAAUAUUAAUAUUACAUGUGGUUAACAAUUGAAGGAAGUCAUUAGUAAAUCUUUAAACUCAACGUAAAUGUACAUUUGCGCAUUUUGUCUUUACGUUUACCAUAAACGAUAUUCGAUCUUUUAUUUAUUUGUCACACGUGCAGAUACACGUGCAUAUGACACGUGCAGAUUUUUCAAUGAUUUAUCGUCGAGUCAUAAUAGUUUGGUUGUUCAAUCGAUUCGUAAAUAAUGCUUGUCGAUCGAAAAGAAAAAAAUUCAAUUCGACUUAAUCGCGCUAUUACAUGUCAGCGCAUAAUUUGCCACACCUAAAAGUAUGUAAGAAGCGAGACAGAUGUAAAUACGUCACCGACUCUAACACUCCGCGUUCUCCAGCAGCUAAAUAACAUUUACGUCUUGCUUUAAGAAGUUUUACAUUGUAAGAUUUAUACUGGUUAGUUGCAUAACGCCGCCUCGUCUGUAAUUUGCAUAGAUUACAAGCGAUAGGGAAAAAUAACGAUGUAACGUAACUUGAUCGUCGUAACAUUGCUACCGAUAAAAUGUGCGCGCGUAAAGUAAAAUCUACGAAUUGUUCGAUAUUAACCAUUCGGUAUGUAAUAUAUACGUAUUAAUCGAGCGUUUAAUUGAGGAAGCUGCAUGACCUAUAUGUAUAUACGCGCCUGUUAACGCUUGUUCGCCGUCCGUCGUAGAGACGUCUCCACCUCUGUUAUAUGGACGGGCCAUUAAAGCUCGUACAAUCUGCGCCUCGCGAUAUAGGGUAUCGUUAGACAAAAGAAUACAUUAGGAAAGGAACGCCUUAUGACGGAUACGCGUCUGUAUCGGGUUAUCAGCGGCGUCUCAGCAUCAGACUGGUGGCAUCGUUAUGGGCACGACGUUGACGGACGGCUCUCUUACGCACGGUUGACGGGAAACACAAAUUGUGGGCGCAGCUGCGCCGAUAGUAAUCAAGAAACACGACUAUGUAGAGAUGCGCGAGUGAACGAGACAGAAACGUAGAAGAAGAGGGACAGCAUAGAGCUGGUGGCACUUCACAGGAAAAUGAUGUUGAUCCAGGUCGAUACCUGUCAUCCGCUGGUUGAUCCACUGCCGAGAUUGCUCCUAGCCCCGGAUUCGCCUCGCUUUACAUUGAUAUUCGUGUGUCCCCUACCUGCCUUGUAUAUCCGCGCCACAAUGAAGGCAAACUGCGUGACUUUACUAUAGCCAUAGCGAUGUAAUAGUGCGUUCAAAUGCAAUGUUAUUAACUAUACAGCCUA